CCCUCGCUGGCACGCUCCGUCCCUCAUCUUCCUCCUCGCGCGAGCGCCGCCGCCCCUCCCUCCCCAUCCCGCUGCCGGGCGCCGCAGACCCCUGCGUCGUCUCCUCCACCGUAGGUACUAUCUCCCAUUCGAUUCUCUCGGUCCCGACCUCCCAUCACCCCACGAGGGCACGAACCCUUUAGUUGCCCGUCAUAAUCUUCCCCAAUUCGUAACCUUGGCCUACCGGGUCCUCCGCCCGUGGUAUCGUCCGUGCGGCCGCGCAGCUGAGAGAUGGAGAAGGGACCGUCCGAGUCGUCGCCGCUCGACUGCGCUCGCUGCGGCAAGCCGGCCUCCCUCCAAUGCCCCAAGUGCGCACAACUGAAGCUCCCCCGUGAAGCUGCUGCUUUCUGUUCACAGGACUGUUUCAAGGCAGCAUGGGUCUCUCACAAGUCUGUCCACGCAAAGCUAGGUGCACUCACAUCCCAGCUGUCUCAAGAAGGCUGGAAAUAUUGUUUGAAAAAAGGGCGGACCCGGACACUGGAACUUCCUCGUUUUGAUUGGACAGGUCCAUUGAGACCAUUUCCGAUAUCAAAGAUGCGAUUGGUGCCAGAUGAAAUUCAGAAGCCUGAUUGGGCAUUUGAUGGAAUCCCCAAGAUUGAGCCAGAUAGUGAUUUGCAGAAAAGAGUAGAGAUCAACUCCCCUGAGCAAAUUGAAAGGAUAAGGGAAACAUGCCGGAUUGCAAGAGAGGUUUUAGAUGCAGGUGCUCGUGUAAUCAAGCCAGGAAUUACAACAGAUGAAAUUGAUAGAGUGAUUCAUGAGGAGACAAUUGCUAGAGGUGCAUACCCGUCCCCAUUGAAUUACCAUUUCUUCCCGAAGUCAUGCUGCACGUCAAUUAAUGAAGUCAUUUGUCAUGGAAUUCCAGAUGCCAGGAAACUUGAAGAUGGUGACAUUAUAAACAUUGAUGUAACUGUAUACUAUAAAGGUGUUCAUGGUGAUUUGAAUGAUACAUAUUUUGUUGGAAAUGUCGAUGAAGCUUCCAAACAGCUUGUACGUUGUACCUACGAGUGCUUGGAGAAAGCUAUCGCAAUAGUUAAACCUGGAGUUAGGUUUCGAGAAGUCGGAGAAAUCAUAAGUAGACAUGCAUCGAUGUCAGGUUUAUCUGUGGUGAAAUCUUAUUGUGGUCAUGGCAUAGGAGAACUGUUCCACUGUGCCCCGAACAUUCCCCAUUAUUCAAGAAACAAGGCUGUUGGUAUCAUGAAGGCUGGGCAAGUAUUUACAAUUGAGCCAAUGAUAAAUGCAGGAGUUUGGCAUGACCGUCUAUGGCCUGAUGAGUGGACCGCUGUGACCGCAGAUGGUAAACGGAGUGCUCAAUUUGAACACACCCUUUUGGUUACGGAAACUGGAGUAGAAGUUUUGACUGCACGACUACCAUCGUCACCAGACGUCUAUCCAUGGUUGAAGCCCUCGGCACCAACUAGCAAGUGAGCGAGUACAAUGAGACUGCAUAACUUUUUUGUGGUCUACUUGCCAGCGAGAUGGUGUCAACUCUUUAAACUCCAAACCAUGUGGAUCUUCUGGUCAGGGUUGCGGCAACCAUUGUUCUUGCUGCGUGUUGAUCAUUUGGAUCAAUUUACUUUAUAUACUUGUUCCGUGGUGUAAGGCACAUGAGCUGGAUUGGGGUUUCCUUGGCAGCUAACAUGCCGAGUAUGAUCAUUCAUGUCAUUUUGAGCAGAUUAAAUUUGAAAGUUGAGUGUGGUUGUACCUUUCUCGUGACUUGGGGAUUCAAUUAUUGAUGUUUCGAAUGAAAUGUUGCAGCAAAGCCUGUUGCAGAACUUUU